rnacentral:lncRNA from 1 species
CAGGCACCCCUCUGAUCACAGCUCCUCAGGAUUUGAGGCAGGAGGAUUGCAGGUGUGAGGCCAGCUGGGAUUCUUAGUAAGACCAUGUUUCAAAAGCAAAGUCCCUUAUGAGGGACCUCGGGAUGCAGCUCAUUGUAAAGUGCUCCUGGAUUCAAUCCCAAGUAGCAGAAAUAAUCAGGGAAUAACAGAUGACAAUUGUGGGUGUGAUGGAGAUCUGAGACGAUGGAGAAGAGUCAUAUUUAUAUGAGACAGGAAGGAAAAUGGGUAGUAGAUUGAACAGGAAGAUAACACCACCCAGUGAGGUCCCAAAUGUACCUCUGUAGGAAGCACUUGCUCUACUCUGAGAAUCGAGUUUACUGACAUAAAACCAAAGAGUGUGAGUCCUCCUCUUGUUUGACUUUUUCCUGGGGACUUAUCAUGAGCCCAGAACCAUGUCCCCAGCACUUUUUGUUUUUCAUUUUGGGAAAAGGAGUAGGGAGAGCAUAAGGGAAGAACAGUGGAAUUAAUCUUAACAGUCUUUCUUAUUUACAUAUUAGUACAGGUAAGUGAUAACCACCAUCAGUAUAUCCAGAAAACACUAAUAAAAAAUCUAUCAUUAAAUUGCAGAAAGAUCA